UUAAGCGACUAAGCGUACACGGUGGAUCGCCCUGGCAGUCAGAGGCGAUGAAGGACGUGCUAAUCUGCGAUAAGCGUCGGUAAGGUGAUAUGAACCGUUAUAACCGGCGAUUUCCGAAUGGGGAAACCCAGUGUGAUUCGUCACACUAUCAUUAACUGAAUCCAUAGGUUAAUGAGGCGAACCGGGGGAACUGAAACAUCUAAGUACCCCGAGGAAAAGAAAUCAACCGAGAUUCCCCCAGUAGCGGCGAGCGAACGGGGAGCAGCCCAGAGCCUGAAUCAGUGUGUGUGUUAGUGGAAGCGUCUGGAAAGGCGCGCGAUACAGGGUGACAGCCCCGUACACAAAAAUGCACAUGCUGUGAGCUCGAUGAGUAGGGCGGGACACGUGGUAUCCUGUCUGAAUAUGGGGGGACCAUCCUCCAAGGCUAAAUACUCCUGACUGACCGGUAGUGAACCAGUACCGUGAGGGAAAGGCGAAAAGAACCCCGGCGAGGGGAGUGAAAAAGAACCUGAAACCGUGUACGUACAAGCAGUGGGAGCACAGAGCAAUCUGUGUGACUGCGUACCUUUUGUAUAAUGGGUCAGCGACUUAUAUUCUGUAGCAAGGUUAACCGAAUAGGGGAGCCGAAGGGAAACCGAGUCUUAACUGGGCGUUAAGUUGCAGGGUAUAGACCCGAAACCCGGUGAUCUAGCCAUGGGCAGGUUGAAGGUUGGGUAACACUAACUGGAGGACCGAACCGACUAAUGUUGAAAAAUUAGCGGAUGACUUGUGGCUGGGGGUGAAAGGCCAAUCAAACCGGGAGAUAGCUGGUUCUCCCCGAAAGCUAUUUAGGUAGCGCCUCGUGAAUUCAUCUCCGGGGGUAGAGCACUGUUUCGGCAAGGGGGUCAUCCCGACUUACCAACCCGAUGCAAACUGCGAAUACCGGAGAAUGUUAUCACGGGAGACACACGGCGGGUGCUAACGUCCGUCGUGAAGAGGGAAACAACCCAGACCGCCAGCUAAGGUCCCAAAGUCAUGGUUAAGUGGGAAACGAUGUGGGAAGGCCCAGACAGCCAGGAUGUUGGCUUAGAAGCAGCCAUCAUUUAAAGAAAGCGUAAUAGCUCACUGGUCGAGUCGGCCUGCGCGGAAGAUGUAACGGGGCUAAACCAUGCACCGAAGCUGCGGCAGCGACGCUGAUGCGUUGUUGGGUAGGGGAGCGUUCUGUAAGCCUGCGAAGGUGUGCUGUGAGGCAUGCUGGAGGUAUCAGAAGUGCGAAUGCUGACAUAAGUAACGAUAAAGCGGGUGAAAAGCCCGCUCGCCGGAAGACCAAGGGUUCCUGUCCAACGUUAAUCGGGGCAGGGUGAGUCGACCCCUAAGGCGAGGCCGAAAGGCGUAGUCGAUGGGAAACAGGUUAAUAUUCCUGUACUUGGUGUUACUGCGAAGGGGGGACGGAGAAGGCUAUGUUGGCCGGGCGACGGUUGUCCCGGUUUAAGCGUGUAGGCUGGUUUUCCAGGCAAAUCCGGAAAAUCAAGGCUGAGGCGUGAUGACGAGGCACUACGGUGCUGAAGCAACAAAUGCCCUGCUUCCAGGAAAAGCCUCUAAGCAUCAGGUAACAUCAAAUCGUACCCCAAACCGACACAGGUGGUCAGGUAGAGAAUACCAAGGCGCUUGAGAGAACUCGGGUGAAGGAACUAGGCAAAAUGGUGCCGUAACUUCGGGAGAAGGCACGCUGAUAUGUAGGUGAAGUCCCUCGCGGAUGGAGCUGAAAUCAGUCGAAGAUACCAGCUGGCUGCAACUGUUUAUUAAAAACACAGCACUGUGCAAACACGAAAGUGGACGUAUACGGUGUGACGCCUGCCCGGUGCCGGAAGGUUAAUUGAUGGGGUCAGCGCAAGCGAAGCUCUUGAUCGAAGCCCCGGUAAACGGCGGCCGUAACUAUAACGGUCCUAAGGUAGCGAAAUUCCUUGUCGGGUAAGUUCCGACCUGCACGAAUGGCGUAAUGAUGGCCAGGCUGUCUCCACCCGAGACUCAGUGAAAUUGAACUCGCUGUGAAGAUGCAGUGUACCCGCGGCAAGACGGAAAGACCCCGUGAACCUUUACUAUAGCUUGACACUGAACAUUGAGCCUUGAUGUGUAGGAUAGGUGGGAGGCUUUGAAGUGUGGACGCCAGUCUGCAUGGAGCCGGCCUUGAAAUACCACCCUUUAAUGUUUGAUGUUCUAACGUUGACCCGUAAUCCGGGUUGCGGACAGUGUCUGGUGGGUAGUUUGACUGGGGCGGUCUCCUCCUAAAGAGUAACGGAGGAGCACGAAGGUUGGCUAAUCCUGGUCGGACAUCAGGAGGUUAGUGCAAUGGCAUAAGCCAGCUUGACUGCGAGCGUGACGGCGCGAGCAGGUGCGAAAGCAGGUCAUAGUGAUCCGGUGGUUCUGAAUGGAAGGGCCAUCGCUCAACGGAUAAAAGGUACUCCGGGGAUAACAGGCUGAUACCGCCCAAGAGUUCAUAUCGACGGCGGUGUUUGGCACCUCGAUGUCGGCUCAUCACAUCCUGGGGCUGAAGUAGGUCCCAAGGGUAUGGCUGUUCGCCAUUUAAAGUGGUACGCGAGCUGGGUUUAGAACGUCGUGAGACAGUUCGGUCCCUAUCUGCCGUGGGCGCUGGAGAACUGAGGGGGGCUGCUCCUAGUACGAGAGGACCGGAGUGGACGCAUCACUGGUGUUCGGGUUGUCAUGCCAAUGGCACUGCCCGGUAGCUAAAUGCGGAAGAGAUAAGUGCUGAAAGCAUCUAAGCACGAAACUUGCCCCGAGAUGAGUUCUCCCUGACUCCUUGAGAGUCCUGAAGGAACGUUGAAGACGACGACGUUGAUAGGCCGGGUGUGUAAGCGCAGCGAUGCGUUGAGCUAACCGGUACUAAUGAACCGUGAGGCUUAACCUU
rnacentral:rRNA from 1 species